rnacentral:rRNA from 1 species
UGGGGAAUAUUGCACAAUGGGCGCAAGCCUGAUGCAGCCAUGCUGCGUGUAUGAAGAAGGCCUUCGGGUUGUAAAGUACUUUCAGCGGGGAGGAAGGCGAUAAGGUUAAUAACCUUGUCGAUUGACGUUACCCGCAGAAGAAGCACCGGCUAACUCCGUGCCAGCAGCCGCGGUAAUACGGAGGGUGCAAGCGUUAAUCGGAAUUACUGGGCGUAAAGCGCACGCAGGCGGUCUGUCAAGUCGGAUGUGAAAUCCCCGGGCUCAACCUGGGAACUGCAUUCGAAACUGGCAGGCUAGAGUCUUGUAGAGGGGGGUAGAAUUCCAGGUGUAGCGGUGAAAUGCGUAGAGAUCUGGAGGAAUACCGGUGGCGAAGGCGGCCCCCUGGACAAAGACUGACGCUCAGGUGCGAAAGCGUGGGGAGCAAACA